rnacentral:lncRNA from 1 species
CUGUGUUGUUGCCCUUAUACCCUCCCCAUUGAUUAGACUGUAUGUAUCAAUGUGACAUCAAUAUUAGUUCAAUAUGGGGUGUCAUGCUGGAACCAAUGGGAUGGGGAAUACCCACAUGUAGGAACGCCCGAAUUGCGGGCUGCAGUUACCCGUUCUUCCAAAACAUGACCUUACAUCACGCCUUUCACGUCUGUCCUCAUCCCCGAUGACACCUGCUGGAAAUCCACAACAACUGUGAAGAACACGCAGGACAGAAACUACAUCAGGAGCUCCGGGACCGACCUCUGGACUAGAGACCUCGUGGAGGGUGGGAAUGAUUGUCCUGAAGCGACCUACUCCAGGCAGCUCUGGUGGUUGUUCCCACUAUCUCUAGACCACUCCAGAAGCAAAACCCAAACAGGAAGUACCAGUGAUGCACUCAAUACAGAAGUGGUCCAAUGAAGCGGAUGCUAAGCUACAGGACUGUUUCUCUAGCACAGACUGGAAUAUAUUCCGGGAUUCAUCCGAUUGGCAUUGAGGAGUUUACCAACAUCAGUCACCGGCUUCAUUAAUGAGUGCAUUGACGACGUCGUCCCCACAGUGACCGUACGUACAGUACAUGUUGCUAGCAAUACUUGUCGUUCUGUCUGUCAUAUUGAGGUAUCUAGCUAUAAGUUAACCUGAUCAAUCAACUGGGAUAUGUGUAAGCAAUUAUGGUAACUCCAACUGCUCUUAACUAGGUUUUGUAAUGGUUGCUUUAUUUGACCACAGCAGAGUUCAAUAUUAUUGUGUGUGUGUGUCAGUAUCCUUACAAAUAUGAAAGUCUGCAUAUUGUAUGACACAGACACUUUUUAAAUGUUAGAGGUGGACCUCAUCAAACCCUUCACGAAAUCCAGGAAUGGCAACAGCUGUUAUCUGACAGCGACCGAUCACUUUACCAAGUGGAUGGAGGCAAUACCCAUUUAAGGCGUGUCAUGCGUCCUCAGAAACUUGACCCGCCGAACCGUGCUCCUUAACACCACCCGCUUAACCCAGAUGCCAGCUGCACCAAUGUGUCAGACCAAACACCGUUCAGCUGACGACCAAAGUGAACCUGCAGGCGCCCGGCCCACCACAAGGAGUCCCUAGAGCACGAUGAGCCAAGUAAAGCCCCCCCCUGAGCCGGACGACGCUGGGCCAAUUGUGCGCCGCCCUAUGGGACACAGCCUGGGAUCGAACCUGGGUCUGUAGUGCUGCAGUGCCUUAGAUCGCUGCGCCACUCAGGAGGCCCCUUGAUUGUUGUUUUGUAUUAUACCCAUCAAGGACAAGACUGGCGAGGCUACCUCCAUCUUCAACACCCACAGUUCUCCUGAGGUCAUCUUGAGUGACUGAGGUUGUGAACUCUGGAACAAGGUCCUUCAGGUUUGGAUGAAUGGACCAACCAGAACCUCAAGACUGCCAUGGACAAGUUCGUUGACGGGUACCAGGAAAGGUGGGAGGACAACCUGAAGGUAAUUCUCUUUGCUCACAACAGCAGCGUCCAGGCCUCCACUGAGUACUCACCCUAUCGCCUGCUGUACUGACGGGAGCCACAGCUGUUGACUGAGCAGCUAUGAUCGUGGUGUUUUAAUCAGUGAAAGAGAGCGGCAAGCCAACGUUGGGCCCAGGAACAACCACAGGGCUCCUGUGAAAACAAACUCAAGUUGGAAAAAUCACAGACCUGGCAACCAAGAGCUGGGCAGUACUGGACUUGGAGGACUGAUACCAGUGUCUCUCUGAGUGCUAUGUAUGUACAUGUUUUACUUCAGGGAACAGUCCGGACUACAGCUUCAGUCACUGUUUGGCAAGAGAUGUCUUAUCUAUCCAUCCUACUCUCACAUAUACAGUUGAAGUUGGAAGUUUACAUACACCUUAGCCAAAUAUAUUUAAACUCAGUUUUUCACAAUUCCUGACAUUUAAUCCAAGUAAAAAUUCUCUUUCUUAGGUCAGUUAGGAUUACCACUUUAUUUUAAGAAUGUGAAAGAGAGAAUGAUUUAUUUCAGCUUUUGUUUCUUUCAUCACAUUCCCAGUGGGUAAGAAGUUUACAUACACUCAAUUAGUAUUUGGUAGCAUUGCCUUUAAAUUAUUUAACUUGGGUCAAAUGUUUUGGGUAGCCUUCCACAAGCUUCCCACAAUAAGUUGGGUGAAUUUUGGCCCAUUCCUCCUGACAGAGCUGGUGUAACUGAGUCAGAUUUGUAGGCCUCCUUGCUCGCACACACUUUUUCAGUUCUGCCCACACAUCUUCUAUAGGAUUGAGGUCAGGGCUUUGUGAUGGCCACUCCAAUACCUUGACGUUGUUGUCCUUAAGCCAUUUUGCCACAACUUUGGAAGUAUGCUUUGGGUCAUUGUCCAUUUGGAAGACCCAUUUGCGACCAAGCUUUAACUUCCUGACUGAUGUCUUGAGAUGUUGCUUCAAUAUAUCCUCAUCAUUUUACUCCCUCGUGAUGCCAUCUAUUUUGUGAAGUGCACCAGUCCCUCCUGCAGCAAAGCACCCCCACAACAUGAUGCUGCCACCCCCGUGCUUCAUGGUUGGGAUGGUGUUCUUCAGCUUGCAAGCAUUCCCCUUUUUCCUUCAAACAUAACGAUGGUCAUUAUGGCGAAACCGUUCUAUUUUUGUUUCAUCAGACUAGAGGACAUUUCUCCAAAAAGUACGAUCUUUGUCCCCAUGUGCAGUUUGGCCUUUUUAUGACGGUUUUUGAGCAGUGGCUUCUUCCUUGCUGAGUGGCCUUUCAGGUUAUGUCAAUAUAGGACUCGUUUUACUGUGGCUAUAGAUAUUUUUGUACUCGUUUCUUCCACCAUCUUCGCAAGGUUCUUUGCUGUUGUUCUGGGAUUGAUUUGCAAUUUUCGCACCAAAGUACGCUCAUCUUUAGGAGACAGAACGCGUCUCCUUCCUGAGCGGUAUGACAGCUGCGUCGUCCCAUGGUGUAUAUACUUGCGUACUAUUGUUUGUACAGAUGAACGUGGUACCUUCAGGCCUGAUGAACCAGACUUGUGGAGGUCCACCAUUUUUUUCGGAGGUCUUGGCUGAUUUCUUCUGAUUUUCCCAUGAUGUCAAGCAAAGAGGCACUGAGUUUGAAGGUAGGCCUUGAAAUACAUCCACAGGUACACCUCCAAUUGACUCAAAUGAUGUCAAUUAGCCUAUCAGAAGCUUCUAAAGCCAUGACAUCAUUUUCAAGGAUGUUUAAAGGCACAGUCAACUUAGUGUAUGUAUACUUCUGACCCACUGGAAUUGGGAUACAGUGAAUUAUAAGUGAAAUAAUCUGUCUGUAAACAAUUGUUGGAAAAAUGUCUUGUGUCAUGCACAAAGUAGAUGUCCUAACUGACUUGCCAAAAUUAUAGUUUGUUAACAAGAAAUGUGUGGAGUGGUUGAAAAACGAGUUUUAAUGACUCCAACCUAAGUGUAUGUAAACUUCCGACUUCAACUGUAUAUGGACCCUUAAGGGGUUCUGUUCUGGCUAGCGCAAUGGCGACGUUGCCAUUCAUCAACAUAUAAAACCAACUCUCCCUCCAUGGACAUGAAACCUAAAGCCUGGGCUUCGUUGUCAGAAUUGUGACUCCUGGUUGACUUGUUCCGUAAUCCAUUUCCAUAUCAUGUAGUCUGAGCUCUUCAUUCAGUAUGGAUGUGUAAUGGGGUCAGACUUGGGGGCAGAGAGGGGGUCAGGGAUGUGGUCACCGGGGAAGAGAUGUGGUUACCGGGGAAAGUAGAGGUCAUCCAUCCUCGUCGCCAUGACGAUAUCCUCGCCCCGCCUGUCUCUUUUCCGAAUGUUCCAGAUAGGUGGUGGGCAGACCAUGUGUAUUUGCGUAUCUGGUAUUUAAAAUACUUUUUCUGUGUAUUUCAGUAUUUUCAAAUACACAGUCCAAAACAAGUACUUUUUUUGAGUAUUUGAAUGGUUAUUUGUAAAAACCAAAUAGUCUGCCAAAUUGUAUUUAACAGUAUGUUCAAGUACUAUUUUCAAAUACCUGGGUUAAAUGCAUAGGAGUGUAUUUGAGUCAGUGUAAUUUAGUUUUUCCUAAUACUCACCAAGUGUACUUCCAAAACAUCAACAUAUUCAACUACGUGUCUUUUUAAAAUAAAAUCUAUCUGAAUACUUCCUUUGAAUGUAUGUGAAAGUAAUUGAGAUAUUAUAAAUAGUUUUUUGAUCCCAGGUCUGGUGGUAGGGUUGGUGUAACGCCCUGGCCAUAGAGAGGGUUUUUUUGUUCUUUAUUUUGGUUAGGCCAGGGUAUUACAUUGGGUGGGCGUUCUAUGUUUAUUUUUCUAUGUUGGUUUGUUUCUUUGGUUUGGCCGUGUGUGGCUCCCAAUCAGGCACAGCUGUAGUUCGUUGUUGCUGAUUGGGAGUCACACAUAAGUAGCCUGUUUUUCCUUUGGGUUUUGUGGGUGAUUGUCUUCUGUUAGUGUGUUUUCCUGACAGGACUGUUUUGCUUUCGUCUUUGGUUUAUUUUUGUCAAGUGUUCUCUUUUUUCAAUUAAAAUUCUAAUGAUGAACACAUCCUCCGCUGCACCUUGGUCUAAUUCUGAC